AACGCAUCUUGCGCUCCUUGGAAUUCCGAGGAGCAUGCCUGUUUGAGUGUCAUGAAACCUUCAAAACCCUCUCUCUCUUCCACGAAAAAGAGGGCUUUUGGAUAGUGGAGUUGUGUGCUGGUAGAAAGGGCUCUCUCUCUUUCUGUCAGCUCCUCUGAAAUGCAUCAAGCUUUUUGCCUCGCGUGGAGUUGUAAACAGAGCUUGUUGGUAUGAUAAAUACUUGUCUAUGCCUACUUGUUUGUUGUUCUGCGUGCAGGGAAUGGCUCACAUCAUCUACAAUCUUUUUGACCUCAAAUCAGGUAGGACUACCCGCUGAACUUAA
rnacentral:misc_RNA from 1 species